rnacentral:rRNA from 1 species
GAUGAACGCUGGCGGCGUGCCUAAUACAUGCAAGUCGAGCGAACAGACGAGGAGCUUGCUCCUCUGACGUUAGCGGCGGACGGGUGAGUAACACGUGGAUAACCUACCUAUAAGACUGGGAUAACUUCGGGAAACCGGAGCUAAUACCGGAUAAUAUAUUGAACCGCAUGGUUCAAUAGUGCAACACGGUUUUGCUGUCACUUAUAGAUGGAUCCGCGCCGCAUUAGCUAGUUGGUAAGGUAACGGCUUACCAAGGCAACGAUGCGUAGCCGACCUGAGAGGGUGAUCGGCCACACUGGAACUGAGACACGGUCCAGACUCCUACGGGAGGCAGCAGUAGGGAAUCUUCCGCAAUGGGCGAAAGCUUGACGGAGCAACGCCGCGUGAGUGAUGAAGGUCUUCGGAUCGUAAAACUCUGUUAUUAGGGAAGAACAAAUGUGUAAGUAACUAUGCACGUCUUGACGGUACCUAAUCAGAAAGCCACGGCUAACUACGUG